rnacentral:rRNA from 1 species
CACCGGCGGCCCGAGUGGUGAUCGUGAUUAUUGGGUCUAAAGGGUCCGUAGCCGGUUUGGUCAGUCCUCCGGGAAAUCUGAUAGCUCAACUAUUAGGCUUUCGGGGGAUACUGCCAGACUUGGAACCGGGAGAGGUAAGAGGUACUACAGGGGUAGGAGUGAAAUCUUGUAAUCCCUGUGGGACCACCUGUGGCGAAGGCGUCUUACCAGAACGGGUUCGACGGUGAGGGACGAAAGCUGGGGGCACGAACCGGAUUAGAUACCCUGGUAGUCC